rnacentral:rRNA from 1 species
GAUGAACGCUGGCGGCGUGCCUAAUACAUCCAAGUCGAGCGAACGGACGAGAAGCUUGCUUCUCUGAUGUUAGCGGCGGACGGGUGAGUAACACGUGGAUAACCUACCUAUAAGACUGGGAUAACUUCGGGAAACCGUAGCUAAUACCGGAUAAUAUUUUGAACCGCAUGGUUCAAAAGUGAAAGACGGUCUUGCUGUCACUUAUAGAUGGAUCCGCGCUGCAUUAGCUAGUUGGUAAGGUAACGGCUUACCAAGGCAACGAUGCAUAGCCGACCUGAGAGGGUGAUCGGCCACACUGGAACUGAGACACGGUCCAGACUCCUACGGGAGGCAGCAGUAGGGAAUCUUCCGCAAUGGGCGAAAGCCUGACGGAGCAACGCCGCGUGAGUGAUGAAGGUCUUCGGAUCGUAAAACUCUGUUAUUAGGGAAGAACAUAUGUGUAAGUAACUGUGCACAUCUUGACGGUACCUAAUCAGAAAGCCACGGCUAACUACGUG